UGGGCCAUAUCCGCUUAUAAUAUGCACACAGAACGGCUGGCAGACUACGGGGACAGAAAACCCCUUUAAAAGGCAGAAUUUGAUAACAUGGGUACAUAACCAUGAAGUGACUGGAGGCAUGGGGGCACUGUGGCUGUGUCUCAUUUGGAAAGCUGCGUCCUGCGGAGGUCGCAUUUGUCAUCGAGGCUGUCUCGUUUCAGAAAAGCGAGUAGGACACUUCGAAUGCAGCCUUCGAAUGCGACCUUCUUUCACUGGAAUUCGGAGGAUGCAUGAGGUGUAUCCUUCGUGGGCACUCACAACCCACAAUUCUUUGCUUAAACGGAAAUGUCUAAAAAAAAAAAAAAAUGACGCCAAUUUGCCCGUAAAUAUGAUGUUCAAACGCAAGGAAUGUUAAUUCCCAAGUUGAAGUACCUCAGUAGAUGGGUGCAGAGUAUAUAAUAUGUAUUAAUAUAUUAAUAUAUAAUUAAAAUAAAGUAUUAGACUAAAAGUACACCUGUAAAAUCUAUUUUCUUUUCUCUUUACAUCAUAACUCUCGUGCUGUCAUAGCAACCAUGUUACGUUCUGUUUCUGUUUGUCCUACGAAGGCCGUCUCGUUUAAACGAGACUUGUUUAAAGGAGGACACACGGUAUACAGCAGCCUUCAAAUGACGCGUCCUACCUAGGAUGCAGCCUUCCAAACAAGACACAGCCUGUGUGUGACACGAUACCAGUAGUGCACUGAGUACGCCCCUCAGUACCAUUAAGUCGCAUAUGGCUGGGUCGAGGCAUUAUAACAUACAGCCACAACCUCUGUAUCAGCCAGUAGUGAGCCUGCAAGGCAAUUUCAGCAUUGGACUCAUUUCCAUCCUGUUUGGCCUCUCCUGCAUUUGCCAUCAUUGCUUGCAUCUGAUUCAGCAACUGUCAUUCUGCAUUUCUGUUUGCUUGCAUUUUGAACCCUUAGCAAUAGUAAAAGUCUUAGGAGUUUUCCAUUUGGGCUGUGGUCGUACAUUCAAGUUUGUUAUUCCUUGAUUUAAUGUGCUCGUGUGGAUAUUUGCUAUGACGACAAUUAUUUAUUUCACAGUACUUCAUAUAUGGGAGCAUGCAAAGACUCCGCAUGAAAAAGAACCACUUCUACACACUGUGUCAUAUUAAUAAAAAUAAAUGUAUCAGUAUUGGCACUUUAUAUUUAAUCAGUUAAAAUAUAACUUCACAAUGGGGGAUUCUUUCACUAUUGCAUGAAUAUGUGCACUGUGAUUUAGAUUAUGAAGCACACAUUUAAUUAACAAUAUUUAAGUCAUAUAUAUAGUAAUGGUGUGAAAAAUUAUUUAAUGAAAAAAUUACAAGGUGUCAGAUCUUUUUAUUUAUUUUAAAUAUGAUAGAAUUAUUAUAGUACAAAUAUAAGCAGGUUAAGUGGUAUCUUUGUAAUAUAAUAAGGAUCAAUAUAAAGGCCAUGUUUUACAGAAUAUUGAGUAGUUUCUAAACCAAUUGUAAUGUGUGAAAUGCUUUCGCAUUGAAAUGUAUAUUUACGUAUUUAAUAUACUUUUCAUAUGUGCUGAAUGCAUACGGUGUCAAGUAUGUCUUCUGUCAAUGUUCUGGGAGUAACAAAUGCAUUUGGAGAGUUGUAAAAUGUAUUUCGUACUAUACAGGAGGGAAUUUACAAUACAAUGACUGAUUUGAUUGUAAUGUUAGAAAUCACAUAAAAAGAUUUAAUUUAAGACAGUUUUAUCCAUUCAUACAUGUACAGUACAUUCUUUAUUCAGUCAUACUCACAAAAUCAAUAAACUAUGCAAAUUGAUGGCGGAGAAAGUUUUUUUUGGCAGGACAGUGUUUAUUGUUCUCUGCCUAAUGCUUCUACUGUUGACUUGUCAUUCAAAGGUUGUUAUUCAAGACAAGACUUUACCUCAAAUGUAAUCCUUUUAGACAGGAUGAUUAUUGUUAAGCUAUCCAAUCUGUAGUUUUUGAUAUUUCUAAGAAUUUAGUUUCAUGAAUAAACUAAUGAGAGU